CACUUCUAAGGAGGCAGCAGGCGCGCAAAUUACCCAAUCCUGACUCAGGGAGGUAGUGACAAGAAAUAACAAUAAACCGGCUUAUGCCGGUUUAAUUGGAAUGAGUACAAUUUAAACAUCUUAACGAGGAACAAUUGGAGGGCAAGUCUGGUGCCAGCAGCCGCAGUAAUUCCAGCUCCAAUAGCGUAUACUAAAGUUGUUGCAGUUAAAAAGCUCGUAGUUGGAUUUCUGUGGGGACGGAGCGGCCGGCCGCAACACGCGGUUCGAGCUAGCGCUUUCCCUACAUCCUGCCGCGAACCGUGCUACCAUUAGUUUGGUGGCGCCGGGGAUCGGCUCGAUUACUUUGAGAAAAAUAGAGUGUUCAAAGCAGGCCACACGCCUUGAAUAAGUUAGCAUGGAAUAAUAACUAAGGACUUCGGUUCUAUUUUGUUGGUGUUCGGGACUGAAGUAAUGAUUGAUAGGGACAGUUGGGGCGGUCUGUAUUCCAAAGCGAGAGGUGAAAUUCUUAGACCUUCGGAAGACAAACAGCUGCGAAAGCGUUCCGCAAGGAUGUUCCCUUUGAUCAAGAACGAAAGUUGGGGGAUCGAAGACGAUCAGAUACCGUCGUAGUCUCAACUAUAAACUAUACCAGCUAGGGAUCGGCCAACGUUAUUUUAUACCGACUUGGUCGGCACCUUAUGAGAAAUCAAAGCAUCUGGGUUCCGGGGGGAGUAUGGUCGCAAGGCUGAAACUUAAAGGAAUUGACGGAAGGGCACCACCAGCCGUGGAGCCUGUGGCUUAAUUUGACUCAACACGGGAAAACUUACCAGGUCCAGACAUAGUAAGGAUUGACAGAUUGAUAGCUCUUUCUUGAUUCUGCGGGUGGUGGUGCAUGGCCGUUCUUAGUUGGUGGAGUGAUUUGUCUGGUUAAUUCCGUUAACGAACGAGACCCCAGCCUGCUAAAUAGCGCGCGUGAGCUUUGCUCGCGGCGAGCUUCUUAGAGGGACUAUGAUGCGCGAUAGCACAUGGAAGUUUGGGGCAAUAACAGGUCUGUGAUGCCCUUAGAUGUUCUGGGCCGCACACGGGCUACACUGGCGCCUGCAACGAGCAUAUCAGCUGGCCCGAGAGGGUCUUGGCUAAUCUUUUGAACCGGCGCCGUGCUUGGGAUUGACCUUUGCAAUUGUUGGUCAUGCAACGAGGAAUGCCUUGUAAACGCGAGUCAUCAGCUCGCAUUGAAUACGUCCCUGCCCUUUGUGCACACCGCCCGUCGCUCCUACCGAUGAAUGUUCCGAUGAAAUUUUCGGAGAGCACCUGUGAACUUGGCUCUGCCUUGCGAACGGGAGGCUCAAAGUCACUUAAAUCUGAACAUUUCGAGG
rnacentral:rRNA from 1 species